rnacentral:lncRNA from 1 species
AGUAUAUAGAUUUGUAUGACUUGUUUGUUGUUGAGCCUUAGCUCAGCUGUGGAUUAAUCAGGGGACUUAAUAUAAACCCAAUUAUUGUAGGCUCUACCAAGAUUCCAAGAGGAAAACUUAGACCACAACAAGAUUGUUUAUGAGAAAGUUUGUGCAAUCUCGGAAAAGAAAGGAUGCACUCCUGCACAACUAGCCCUCGCAUGGGUUCACCACCAGGGAGAUGAUGUUUGUCCCAUCCCAGGAACCACUAAGAUUGAAAACCUCAACCAGAACAUUGGAGCUUUAUCGGUGAAACUCACACCUGAAGAAAUGACUGAGCUCGAGACAAUUGCCCAACCAGGUUUUGUGAAAGGGGAAAGAUACUUCCCCAUGGUGCCCACUUUCACGAACUCUGAGACACCACCAUUGUCUUCUUGGAAAGCCGCCUAAAACCGGCUGAAGUUUCUAUGGUUGUUAUGGUGUAUGACAUUGAAGCGGUCUAGCUUUCUGUUAGCUAGAUCAGUGUGUUGGGAAUAAUGCUGCGUCUUUCAAGAGCAGAGUAUGGAGAUCAGUGUUGUUAAUGCCUUGAAUAAGAAAUUUAUGUAUAGAGUUCCCCAAGUGAAAACUUCAAUUUACAUUUCAUACAGUAUGAGUCUGUAACCAAACUAUAAAAAGUUUAUAUGUUCUGAUACAAACUUGAAUCUUUCAAGCUAAAGCCUUACCAAAAGAAAAGCUUCCUUGUCCAUUAACUUCUGCUCAUCUUUACCACUUGGUUUGGUUAAACUUGGUUGAUCAAUUAAAGUAUUAAACCAGGAUCCGAGUGAUUUAAGACUGCACCAAGCCUUGUUUUUUACAAAUCAAGGUGAGAUUUUUAUUCGGCAAACACAAUAACCAUCGUUACUUGGAACUGAGUGGGUCGUUCGAUUUCAGCUAAAUGUGAAACAUUUUGAGUUCAACAAUGGAAGAACAUCGAGAAUCUGAACACCUUUUCGUCAAUAAGGACCUCGUCGUGCGUCUCUCUUCUCUUUUCAUCUAAUAUAUUUCCUCAUCUGUGUUGCACUUUUUCAUGAUGUCAUCAUCUCAUUUUAGGAUUUUUUUUUUCAAUUUCUGUUACACUAAAACCUAAAAUGAUCGAUCCUCUUUAGUAGCUUAAGAAUCUCCAUGGUUGAACAAGCUUUUCCCCCACUAUUUGCAUUAGAUUCGUUGAAUUUUUGUUCUCAGGAGCUAUUUGGACAAACCCUUUUUCUGAUUUUAGUCUGUGUGUCACAUGACAGGAAGAUACAUCAGAGAUUACCAAUGCCAAAAGAAAAGUUGAAAGCCUCUUCUGUGUCAUGAGAAAGAGAAUUUGUAGACACAAGUCUGUGGAUGAUGAUGAUAUCUUUCCGGAUUUAGAUAGUGAUGCACAGGUAGGUGAUGAUGGUGAUGAGGAUAUACGAAAUUGUCUGAGCCCCGAAAGUGACUUCUGGUUUGAGAAUCUUAUGGAUAAUCCUUAUGAUCCACUGGAUGAGGGUUCGUUUGUAGACGACUGCUGCGGUGGCAGUGACACAGACCUAUCUGAAUCUUCAGAAUUUGAUUGUAUAUCUGAACAUGUUCUAGAUGAAAAUGAUUUGUUAAACGGAUGGAAAUUUCUGUCUGUAUGGGCCAAUGAAGAUGAGGGAACUCUGGUUAGUAGGUGGUCUUCAGAAACUUUAAAUUCUAUCUUGUUGUUAUCUCCUGAUGAGAGUAGUGCAAGGUCCAAGGAAGAUGACGUGUUGUCAUCUGUUUCUCCCUGGCUUUACUCUAACCAUAGCAAUGACAUCUCUCUCUUCCAUUCUGAAAGGAAAGAAGAUCAAAUGUUCUGUAGCCCUGGGAAUUCUGAAGAUUUUUUGAGGUGUAGUGUCAGCAAAGAAGAUCCAGAAAUCCCAUGCAACUCUGGUAUCCUCGAGAAUGAUGUCGACAAUUCGUAUGCUAAUGAUUUUAGUUGUGGAGAUGUCAUCAACAAGCAUGGGUCUAUGGAGAUAAUGUGCAUUGAUGAUGAGCAUAGACUGUGGAAUAAGGAUGAUGAACCGGUACCGAUCUGCAUUGUACCUCCUGAUGGUUGGGAAAGCAUAUCGCCAAAAAUGUGUUUACUUCAUCAGACCGACAGAUGUAUCAAUGAAUACAAUGUUCAUGAUGGUAAUAUUGGCCUUGAAAUCUCUCCAAUGCGUUUAACAAAAACUCUUGAAAGACCUAGUAGGCCAUGGUCAGUUUGUGGCUCUGUUGCUGCAGUAAGAAACUCACCUCUAAUGGAAGAUAGCCCAGGUGCUUGUAGUUCUUUGGAUGAAAAAUUAUAUGAAAAUGUUAAUAGCUCUGAGGACAGGGAUGAAGAUCUUGCUCAAACCACCCCAUCAACUCUAUAUCAGGACGAAGUAAAUAGUGGAGAUGAGAUUGACAUUGAUGCAAUGGUAAACCCUGAUUACUCUUUACACAAGCGUGUCACAAGUUAUCCUUCAAUGUGUUUCCUGAUCUCUGAUAUCACAUGAAUUUAUCUCCAGAUCCGCAAAUUGAAUCUCGUCCCAGAUUAUUCAGUUUCAAGCUUCAACAGGGAAGGUAAGCCAUAUGGCUUUUGAUGUCAAAUCAAUCAAGUCACUAGUUCACACUGUUGAAUCCAAUAUCCAGUUAUGUUUCUCUCAAAGUCAAACUAGAUUUGUCUCAAUUAUGGUUUGCUUCAUGUUACCUAGAAUGGAACAUGUCCAAGCACCCAAAACAUGCAUUAGCUGGAUUGCAACUCCAAACAAGAACUUCAUUGCAAAGAGCAGUUAUGUUUCAUGGGGCAAUUGCUGUCGUGCAUUGUCGUGAUUCAAAGCAUUUUGUCAGAAAACGCGAGGUAUGUUAGACAAAUCAUUUUCUCCUGUCUUGAUGCUUUCAUUUCCUAUCAAGUCCUCUUAGUUACAUGGCAGAGGAUCAUUUAUUUGUCAUAGGUAAUUAUUGGGAGAUCAUUUGAUGGCCUGAAUGUUGACAUUGACUUGGGUAAAUAUAAAUGUGGGAGCAAGAUAUCUAGGCGUCAGGUGAUCCUCUUUCCCAUCUCCCAUAUUAAAACUACAGGGCACUAAUGAAGUUCUUAAUUACCACCUUGCUAAUUAGUUGUUUAUGUCAUAUACUUUUCUCUCGAUAUUUUUGAUAAGGCAUUGGUUAAGCUAGAGAACUACGGAUUAUUCUCUCUAAAGAACCUUGGAAAGCAACAUCUCCUUGUAAAUGGAGAGAAAAUCGAUCCAGGACAAAUUGUAACUCUCAAAUCGUGUAGUUCAAUCAAUGUAAGCACGAGUGACGAGCUUAUGCUUUCGUACAACUUACAAGCAUGUUUAUGCAUCUUUCUGUAACUAAAACUCCCAAAUUUUGCAGAUCAGGGGAAUAACUUUUAUGUUUAAGGUUAACGAAGAAGCAGUAAGACAAUUCUUGAAGAACAGUUCAAGGAGAAAGAGUGAGGACGACAAAUUCAGAUGGUGCGAAUAAAUUUUCUUAAUACCUUCUGCUCUACCACUCUCAGCAUAAUCUUAAUGACCCAUCAAUAUGAUUUAUGUCUCACCUGGUUUAGGAUUAGGAGUUUAGAUACCUAAUGCCAAUGAAUGAGUGAUCUCAUCGUAUCAGUGUUAAUGCCUUGAAGAAUAAACUAUGUAUAGAGUUCCCUAAGUGAGAACUUCAAACUAUAAUUUCAUAAGUUAGAACUCAAACUAACUAUAAUUUCCCUAAGUUCCCUAAGUUAAUGCCUUGAAAAAUAAACUUAGGUUUAGAGUUAGAGUUCCCUAAGUGAGAACUUCAAACUAUAAUUUCAUACACUUUGACCAAUCUCUAUUGGAAGAUCUGUUCUGUAAAUCUCUUACAAGCUAAAACCUUACCGUCCUAAAGACUAAGGAUCUGUUACUGCUCACAUCUCACCCAACUCUACCAAGGAUCUGUUGCGACGAAUUGCAUCGGUUCAAUAUCAUUUGAUUAUUUUUUGAUUGAUAAAAUUUGGUUGGUUUCUUUUGGUUUAAAAUAGUUGGUUCGAUUAAACCAGGAUAUGAAAGCGUAUUUGGUUUUUUAUUGAUCUAUCAUCAUCACCACUCCACUCGUUUAAAACUUUACAAGAGAUAUAGAGAGAGUUGUUGUUACAGCAAUCCAUGGCGGCUUGCAAAGUCAAGAGGAUUAAGCUGGGAAGCCAAGGCUUCGAGGUAUCGGUGCAAGGCCUAGGUUGCGUGGGCCUCAACGGCCAUUACGGUGCUUCGAAGCCGGAAACUGACGCCAUCGCUCUCCUCCACCACGCUGUUAACUCCGGCGUCACUUUCUUUGACACCUCCGAUAUCUAUGGCCCUGAGACCAACGAAGUUAUCCUCGGAAAGGUUCGAUUUUUCGAAAUUCCCAUGUCUACAGUUUGAUCUUGUUUUAUUUGAUUGUUAAUAAGGGCAACAAAGAACGACUUUAGCAAUGGGAAUUGGCCUCGAUUUUUUUUUUGUCAGGCUUUGAAGGAUGGGGUGAGGGAGAAAAUGGAACUUGCCACCAAAUUUGGAAUCAGUUAUGGAGAGAGGAAGAGAGAGAUAAAGGGAGAUCCUGCUUAUGUUAGGGCUGCUUGUGAGGCUAGUUUGAAGCGGCUAGAUGUUGCCUGCAUUGAUCUGUAUUAUCAGCAUCGGAUAGAUACUCGUGUCCCUAUUGAAAUCACUGUAAGCCUUCUCACUUUUAAAUGAAAGUGGAAGUUACAUAGUUCAAUACUUCAGGUGUGCUUGAGUUCAUCUCAGUGACAGUGAGCUUCACAUCUUCGGCUUGCUAUAUGUUCGGACUAAUAAAGUUGAAGAAUUUAGGAUUUGGAGAUGAUGAUGUCUGCUUAGGUUACUAUAAUCUUUAACCAAGCAAGAUUGAGGUUCUGUCGUCAACUUAUUUAAAAGCCAGCUUUUGAGGAUAGGGUGCCCUUCUGAUGUGGGAUGCUUACAUCGUCACUUUUUUUUUUCUUUUUCUAAUGUGGGAUCUUAUCAUCCCCCCUAAUGAUUUUUCGUUAGACUAGACUCCUCACGAGUUGGUUUUGAGCUCUCUAGUUUGUUUUCCACACUUCUUGACCUUUAUGCUGGCACCUUUUUCUAAACUUCAACAAUAUAUAUUUUGUCUCUCAACUCUAAGAUUGGAGAACUGAAGAAGCUGGUUGAAGAGGGUAAAAUAAAGUACAUCGGUUUGUCUGAAGCCUCUGCCUCAACUAUCAGAAGAGCGCAUGCAGUUCACCCAAUUACUGCAGUGCAGUUAGAAUGGUCCUUGUGGACGAGAGACGUUGAAGAAGAAAUCGUCCCGACCUGCAGGUAUCGAUAAUAAAAAAAGGGAGCCCAAGCGGCAUUAAGAAUAGCUUAUUUUAAUCCUCCUUUCUUAAAGCACUAUCCAUCAAUCAUGUAACUUCUUGUCUUUCUUUUUUCAGGGAACUUGGGAUUGGAAUUGUUGUGUACAGUCCUCUAGGAAGAGGUUUCUUUGCAUCUGGACCCAAGCUUGUUGAGAACCUAGACAAUAAUGACUUCAGAAAGGUAAGUACAUAGGCUUUCUUUGACUUGGUUGAUUGAUGAACCUUGAAUAAUCUGUGAUAAAUCAAAUAACUUAAUACAAACUCUGUUACUGCAGGCUUUACCAAGAUUCCAACAGGAAAACUUAGACCACAACAAGAUUCUCUAUGAGAAAGUUUGUGCAAUGUCGGAAAAGAAAGGAUGCACUCCCGCACAACUAGCCCUAGCAUGGGUUCACCACCAGGGAGAUGAUGUAUGUCCCAUCCCAGGAACCACUAAGAUCGAAAACCUCAACCAGAAUAUUGGAGCUUUAUCAGUGAAACUCUCUCCUGAAGAGAUGUCUGAGCUCGAGACCAUAACCCAACCAGAGUCUGUGAAGGGAGAAAGAUACAUGGCCACAAUGCCAACCUUCAAGAACUCCGACACUCCACCAUUAUCUUCUUGGAAUGCUGUGCAAAACUGUCUAUGAGUUUCUCUAGCCAAACCGCAGCAAGAAUAUGUUAUUAGUUUAUAGUGCGUUCCGCCUGUAGAAACUAUGCAUAUGCUAUCAAAAGAUAAAUUUUAUGUAUAGGAUAUACUGUUUUCUAUAUUGUGCCUACUCUCUGCAUAAUGCAGACUGCAUAGUCUUAGUGACCCAUAAUCAUUUCAUGGUUUAAACGACCCACUUGGCUUCGGUUUAGACACCUAAAGCCAAUGAGUUAAUCCCAUCAUAUUUGACCAGACUUUGCCGACAAGACUUCCAGUAAGACAAAAGAUCAAAUUUGCCAUAAAAGAGUAUGACGUGAAGAUACAUACUUUAACAUUAUUAUAUACACAUCUGACAUCUUUGAAGAUCACUCAAAGACGUACGUAUUUUUUGUCUUUUUUGGCUUAAAUACACGUACAUAGUUCUCAUGUAAGACUACAAAGAUCUUUAACUCUAAAGCAUAAAAUAUGGAAUAAAGCGCUUUUGUAAAAGAAAGAGGCAAUUUGAGAGUUUUUUAGUCACAGCACUCAUCAACACAACUUCAACAACAACUCCACUCAACUCUAAACUCUUACAAGUUACAAGUUACUAGAGAGAUAUAGCGAAAGAGAGAGAGGUGUGACAGAGAUUCAUGGCAGAAGUUUGCAGAGUGAGGAGGAUGAAGCUAGGAAGCCAAGGCCUUGAGGUCUCGGCACAAGGCCUUGGUUGCAUGGCCCUCUCUGCUCGCUAUGGUGCUCCAAAGCCGGAAACUGAAGCCAUCGCUCUCCUCCAUCACGCUAUUCAUUCAGGCGUUACUUUCUUUGACACCUCAGACAUGUACGGUCCUGAGACCAACGAGUUGCUCCUCGGAAAGGUCCAAGAUAUUUUAGUUUGUGAUAUUUUAGGCUGUAAACUUAGCUCACGACAAUAUUUUGUAUGUUAAAGUUUGUUGAAUUUAUUUAUUGAAAUUUCGUAUUCUUGUCAGGCUUUGAAAGAUGGGGUGAGGGAAAAAGUGGAGCUUGCAACCAAAUUUGGAUUCUUUAUAGUAGAUCAGGGGAUAAAAGAGGUAAGAGGAGAUCCUGAGUACGUCAGAGCUGCGUGUGAGGCGAGUUUAAAGAGGCUAGAUGUUGCCUGCAUUGAUCUUUAUUAUCAGCAUCGUGUCGAUACUCGUGUCCCUAUCGAAAUCACUGUAUGACUUAUCUUCCUUCAUGUCACAGUUCCAAUGUUUUCCAAGUUGGUUUAUCUUUGGCUCCGGAUAUGAUUAAACUGAUAGUUUCUUUGUCUACGAAUUCCAAGAUGGGAGAACUGAAGAAGCUAGUGGAAGAAGGUAAAGUAAAGUACAUCGGUUUGUCUGAAGCUUCAGCUUCAACUAUCAGAAGAGCACAUGCUGUUCACCCGAUUACCGCUGUGCAGAUAGAAUGGUCCUUGUGGUCUAGAGAUGCGGAAGAAGAUAUCAUUCCUACCUGCAGGUGUGAGAGACUAGAAUCAGACAUAACGUUCCUCUUUGUUUACAUGUUUAUUAACAUUUCCUUUAUAUAUAUUACCAGAGAACUUGGGAUUGGAAUUGUUGCUUAUAGCCCUCUAGGAAGAGGCUUCUUAGCAUCAGGACCCAAGCUUGUUGAGAAUAUGGACAACGAUGACUUCAGAAAGGCAACUACUGUUAUUUGCAUUGAAACACAAUAUUUGAUGAAGCUUAAAUAAACUUUGGAUAUAUUGUGCUCAUACGUGUUCCUUUAUCGCAGACUCUACCAAGAUUCCAACAGGAAAACUUAGACCACAACAAGAUUCUCUUUGAGAGAGUAUCUGCAAUGUCUGAGAAGAAAGGAUGCUCUCCCGCACAACUAGCCCUUGCAUGGGUUCAUCACCAGGGAGAUGAUGUUUGCCCCAUUCCAGGAACCACUAAGAUUGAAAACCUCAACCAGAACAUUGGAGCUUUAUCAGUGAAACU